UGAGAAAACUAGGGGUGCCUACAGGAAGUAGGCUGAGAAAAAGGUAUGUUCCUUUUAACUCUUUUAACCUGAUCUGGAUGAUACCAGCGUAGGGAAGUUGUUGCUUGUUUGU
rnacentral:ncRNA from 2 species